GACUCGUGGCGUGGAGGACCAGCAGGCGUGGGCGCUGUCGUGGGUGGAGGAGUUGCUGUCGUGGCAGGGGCUGGACGGCCAUGCGUGCGUCCAGAGGUUCAUCUGCGAACUCCAGCACAGGACGAUUGACCAGUACAGCGUCCUGGGCGAGACCAUGUCCCUCCUCUUCCGAAUGACCAACGUCUCGUCAACUAACAGCGUAAUAGCACCUUAUUUAGAAGCCAGAGAAAAGGGUCAGAGUGUCAAGAACUGGACGGAGUGCGGUCCCCUGUUUCCCGCCUGCCCCACUUCGCCAUUUAAACUUUUUGGCGGGAAAUUGAACAGGACCGUGACUGAAUAACGGACGUAUUUUGAAUUGGGCUCUUUAUAUUUAUUGAUUCUACGCUCGGGGUGAUAUUCUUUAUUUAUUUCCUAAUUUAUUAAAUCAUGUUGGAUAUUCCAUGCUCUGUUUCGUUUAUAUGACUGUGUUAAGUACAUUGUAUCGUAUGCUCCCAAUAAAAAAAAUGUUGAUGUA